rnacentral:tRNA from 1 species
GUUUCUGUAGUUGAAGUACGACGGUGGUUUUUCAAACCAUUAAUUCUGGUUAAAGUCCAGGCGGAAAUU